GAGUUUGAUCCUGGCUCAGAUUGAACGCUGGCGGCAUGCUUUACACAUACAAGUCGAACGGCAGCGCGGGGCAACCUGGCGGCGAGUGGCGAACGGGUGAGUAAUAUAUCGGAACGUACCCAAGAGUGGGGGAUAACGUAGCGAAAGUUACGCUAAUACCGCAUACGAUCUAAGGAUGAAAGCAGGGGACCGCAAGGCCUUGUGCUCCUGGAGCGGCCGAUAUCUGAUUAGCUAGUUGGUAGGGUAAAGGCCUACCAAGGCUACGAUCAGUAGCUGGUCUGAGAGGACGACCAGCCACACUGGAACUGAGACACGGUCCAGACUCCUACGGGAGGCAGCAGUGGGGAAUUUUGGACAAUGGGCGCAAGCCUGAUCCAGCAAUGCCGCGUGAGUGAAGAAGGCCUUCGGGUUGUAAAGCUCUUUUGUCAGGGAAGGAACGGUAGGGGCUAAUAUCCCCCGCUAAUGACGGUACCUGAAGAAUAAGCACCGGCUAACUACGUGCCAGCAGCCGCGGUAAUACGUAGGGUGCAAGCGUUAAUCGGAAUUACUGGGCGUAAAGCGUGCGCAGGCGGUUUUGUAAGUCUGAUGUGAAAUCCCCGGGCUCGACCUGGGAAUUGCAUUGGAGGCUGCAAGGCUAGAAUCUGGCAGAGGGGGGUAGAAUUCCACGUGUAGCAGUGAAAUGCGUAGAGAUGUGGAGGAACACCGAUGGCGAAGCAGCCCCCUGGGUCAAGAUUGACGCUCAUGCACGAAAGCGUGGGGAGCAAACAGGAUUAGAUACCCUGGUAGUCCACGCCCUAAACGAUGUCUACUAGUUGUCGGGUUUUAAUUAACUUGGUAACGCAGCUAACGCGUGAAGUAGACCGCCUGGGGAGUACGGUCGCAAGAUUAAAACUCAAAGGAAUUGACGGGGACCCGCACAAGCGGUGGAUGAUGUGGAUUAAUUCGAUGCAACGCGAAAAACCUUACCUACCCUUGACAUGGCAGGAAUCCCGAAGAGAUUUGGGAGUGCUCGAAAGAGAACCUGCACACAGGUGCUGCAUGGCUGUCGUCAGCUCGUGUCGUGAGAUGUUGGGUUAAGUCCCGCAACGAGCGCAACCCUUGUCAUUAGUUGCUACGAAAGAGCACUCUAAUGAGACUGCCGGUGACAAACCGGAGGAAGGUGGGGAUGACGUCAAGUCCUCAUGGCCCUUAUGGGUAGGGCUUCACACGUCAUACAAUGGUACAUACAGAGGGCCGCCAACCCGCGAGGGGGAGCUAAUCCCAGAAAGUGUAUCGUAGUCCGGAUUGUAGUCUGCAACUCGACUACAUGAAGUUGGAAUCGCUAGUAAUCGCGGAUCAGCAUGUCGCGGUGAAUACGUUCCCGGGUCUUGUACACACCGCCCGUCACACCAUGGGAGCGGGUUUUACCAGAAGUAGGUAGCUUAACCGCAAGGAGGGCGCUUACCACGGUAGGAUUCGUGACUGGGGUGAAGUCGUAACAAGGUAGCCGUAUCGGAAGGUGCGGCUGGAUCACCUCCUUUCUA
rnacentral:rRNA from 1 species